GGGGAUGUGGAAAGGAACCGCCGCCAUUGCCGUUAUCUUUCUCUUCCUCCUCUCAUCAUCAUCGUCGCAAUGGAUUCCGGAUCUGAUUCCGACGCCUCACACAUCUCCGCCACGCCUCCCCGGAACCCUAUUCCCGAUCCCCCCAAGCCUGGAUUUAGGGUUCCCAACCCUCCGAAGCUCAGCCACAGACCCAAAUCGAUCCCCCGGAAUCCUUCCAAAUCCAAGAUCAGAUCGACCCCUAAGAGUUCGGAUCCCCCUGCGCCGGAGGUUUCCCUCUCCGAAGAACUCGCCAACCUACAUGGUAUGCCCGUCGUCAACGUUUCGCAGCUUGCUUACGUGCCCGAUCGGUCCGCCUCUUUCUCACGCCUCGUUUUGUCCCGGCGGCCCUCCAUCGACCCUUCUGAAUUCUUAAUUGGUGGCCGAGGCGAAUCUUCUAGUGAUUUCGUCGCGAGUUCCAGCAGUGGAGAGGCUUCCUUAAAGGUGCCGGAGAGACCUAAGCGCUCACGGCCAAAUGGAGUCAGGUUCAUUGCUCCGGUAGAGCAGCUGAAGCGGCCGGAUUGUGUUGCAGAAGUCAAAGGUAGACCUUGUGAUGCUGCCGUGGGAAGGCCUGAUGAUGGCAAGACCAUUUUGAACGAGAAAGUAAAUCCCAGGCGCGUGCAUUCUAAUUUUGUUGGAUUUGGCGAGUCAAGGGAGCCGGCUAAACUGCCAAAGAACGGCAGGGAGGGAAAUUUUGUUCGCCUGAAUAUAAAUGGUCGUGGGAGGAGAUUCACCUUUAAGAAUCGGAGUAAUAAUGGGCGUUCCAUCUCCUCUCGAAGUCGCAGAUAUCGUCGGAAACCUGUAGCGGGAAAACAUGAGACUCCAGCGGGAGAUGAUUUUGAUUCCGGCAUUCUGGUUGAGCAGAGACGAAGUUCAAAUUGUAGCAAUCAGUUACUUGAAGAGGCCGUAACAGUUGCUGGAGAGCAUCCAUCGGAUGAAAACUUGCUGAGAUUGCUGAAGCUUACUCAUGGUUACGAUUCAUUCCGUGAGGGGCAGCUAGAAUCGAUCAAGCGGGUGGUUGCAGGGGAAUCAACAAUGCUGAUGCUGCCAACUGGUGCUGGAAAGUCAUUGUGCUAUGAGCUACCAGCUUUGAUAUUACCUGGAGUGACAUUGGUUGUGAGUCCUCUGGUCGCCUUGAUGAUGGAUCAGUUAAGAAAGCUACCUUCUGUAAUACCUGGUGGUCUUUUUUCCAGCACCCAGACAAUUGAGGAGGCUUCUGAAACCCUGAGAAGGCUUCACGAGGGAACUAUCAAGGUGCUUUUUGUCUCCCCUGAGAGACUUCUAAAUGCAGAAUUCUUAUCAUUAUUUGUGGAUGGACUGUCUAUAUCAGUUCUAGUCAUUGAUGAAGCUCACUGCAUUUCUGAAUGGUCACAUAACUUUAGGCCUUCAUAUUUGAGGUUAAAAUCAUCUAUACUUCGAAGAAAGCUCAGUGUUCAGUGCAUCCUUGCCAUGACAGCAACUGCUACAGUCCAAACAUUCCAUGAUAUCACGUGUGCUUUAGAAAUUCAGCCUAGUAACCGUAUUAAGAUAUGCCAAGUAAGAGAAAACUUGCAGCUCUUUGUCACUUUAAGUGAGAAUAGAUUGAAGGAUUUAUUACUUUUGAUGAAGACUUCUCCUUUGACUGACAUGCACAGCAUUAUAGUGUACUGCAAAUUUCAGAAUGAGACUGAUUUAGUGAGCAAGUAUCUAUGUGACAACAAUAUCCCAUCUAAGGCUUACCACAGUGGCAUUCCUGCAAAAAAUCGGGGUCGCAUACAGGAACUUUUCUGUUCCAACAAAUUAAGAGUGGUUGUUGCGACAGUGGCAUUUGGUAUGGGGCUUGAUAAGAGUGAUGUUCAAGCGGUACUGCAUUAUAGCAUGCCAGAAAGCUUGGAAGAAUACAUUCAGGAAACUGGCCGUGCUGGAAGGGAUGGCAAACUGUCUUAUUGUCAUCUCCUCCUAGAUAUCAGUGCUUGCUAUAAGCUUCGCAGUCUAUGUUUCAGUGAUGGUGUGGAUGAAUAUGCAGUAAGCAAAUUUCUUGCUUACAUCUUUUCUAAUGACGUUCACUUAACUGGACAAAUUUGCUCCUUGGUUAAAGAGUCUAUGUCCAGGAAAUUUGAUAUGAAAGAAGAGGUUCUUCUAACAAUCCUUACCCAACUUGAGAUCAGUGAUGAGCAAUACAUUACCCUACUUCCACCACUCAAUGCGACUUGUUCAUUGUAUUUUCAUAAGACGCCCCCCAUGUUACUAGCAGACAAGAAUAUUUUAGUUGCAUCAAUUCUAAACAAAUCCGAAGUGAAGGAUGGGCACUAUGUGUUUGAUAUACCAACAAUAAGCAACAAAAUUCUAGUGGGAACGGUUGAUUUGAUUAAUAUGCUGCAAGACCUAAAGUCUUUAGGGGAAGUAACAUAUGAUUUGAAGGAUCCAGCCUUCUGUUACACAAUUCGGAAGAGACCAGAUGACUAUUGCUGUCUAUCAAUGAAUAUCACGGAAAGGCUCUGUCAAGUUGAAAGAUGCAAGGUACAAAAAUUGGAUGCAAUGUUCAAUGUUGCAUGGUCAGCGGUGAAAGAAUGUAAUGGCGUCAAUGGGUGCUCCAAUUCAUUGCAUACUCCAUGUAUUCAAAGAAAAACUUUGGACUACUUUGAUGGGAAGGAUGAUGCAUUGAAUGAUGUUGCAUUGUUUAAGAUGGCACGGAAAAGUCCAUUUUUGGGAGCAGAUAUAAAGGUGUUUCUAAGAAGUAAUUCAUGUAUGAAUUUUACCCCAAGGGCAGUUGCGCGAAUUAUGCACGGCAUCAGUAGCCCAGCUUUUACUUCUUCAUUUUGGUCCAAAAGCCAUUUCUGGGGACGAUAUGUGGAGGUUGAUUUUGCAAUUGUUAUGGAAGCUGCAAAAGUAGAACUUAUGAAUUUUGUGGGCAAACAAUCAAAUUGAACAAGUACAUGAAUUAUACAUGACUGGCUAAACAUGUUACUUAUCUUCAUUAUGGCGAUCGCAAGGGCUGCUGCAAAUUGGUUCAAUUGCAAUUACUGCUGCUCGCCGGAAGUUUAGAGAUGAAGAGAGGUAGGCUUGCAGAGGUGAUGGAGACGACAGUGACAAAAUACGUGAGAGAAAUUAUAUCGAAGAGUUGACGGACAGGCCCGGGCUAUAGUUAUCCAUGUUGGAAAUAACACUGGUGUACAAAAUGCGAUAAUUAUUUGUCUGUUAGCUUCAUAUUUUGGGUUCCGGAGACAAACUUGUGAUUGCAAAAGUAGGCUGGUAGAAGUUUAUUAGACAGCUCUGAUGCCCCUGGUAAAACAUUGAGAGGCUGAUGAGAGUUUUAUUAUAACUCUCUCUUUUUUUUUGACCUUUGAUCCAGGAUUCUUUUUUGUACAAUUCUAUUGAUGAAGCAAAC